CGACCGUGACUUCCUCGACUCCAGCUUCUCCGAUGCAGGCGAAUUUUUGCACCAACAGUUACAUUGAUUGAUAUAGAAAGUUAUUUUUAUGUUAUCAGCUUAGGUUCAAACCUAUAGGGUCAUACGCAUUAGAAGAUUUGGUCAGAUCUGAUGGUUGAAGAGUCUAAUUAGAUUGUGACUCUGGUGAAGAGUCCUACUCCGACUAGAACUCUGAGGGAGUGUACCACUAGGACUGAGACUCUACUAUUUUUUAAGAAUUAAUUAGUAAUUAGAUUAUUAAUUG
rnacentral:lncRNA from 1 species